rnacentral:rRNA from 1 species
UACGUAGGGUGCGAGCGUUAAUCGGAAUUACUGGGCGUAAAGCGUGCGCAGGCGGUUAUGUAAGUCAGUUGUGAAAUCCCCGGGCUCAACCUGGGAAUUGCAUUUGUGACUGCAUAGCUAGAGUACGGUAGAGGGGGAUGGAAUUCCGCGUGUAGCAGUGAAAUGCGUAGAUAUGCGGAGGAACACCGAUGGCGAAGGCAAUCCCCUGGACCUGUACUGACGCUCAUGCACGAAAGCGUGGGGAGCAAACAGG